AAAGACUUAGAAUCCUGGGAAGCCCCGUCUGAGGAGGGGAAGCUGUUGCAGUACGUGGAUGAUAUCCUGAUCGCCACCAAAACAGAGAAAGAUUGUAUGACGUGGACGGUGAGUCUGUUGAAUUUCCUGGGACUCCAGGGGUACUGGGUAUCCAAGAAAAAGGCACAGCAGGAACACAGGAGAACCGGUACAUCAUGACUGUUUGGAAACCAUUGAAGCAACAUACGCCAGUUGCCCAGACCUGAAAGACAGCCCCAUGGAAAAUGGGGAAACUUGGUUCACAGAUGGAAGCAGUUACGUCCUAAAUGGUAAUUGACACGCGGGAUACGCUGUCACCACCAGCCAAGAGAAAAAACUCUGGAGCCACAGUGGGAAGGACCAUUUCAAGUAUUACUUACCUCCUUCACCGCGAUUAGGAUCAAGGAACGGAGCGCCUGGAUCCAUCACACUAGGGUGAAGAAGGCACCCAAAGGACAAUGGACUUCACAAGAAAAGGGACCUUUGAAGCUCAAAUUUGUAAGACAUUGAUUGUCAUGCUCCUGAGUUGGACCUUGCCCAAGGGGCAGGCUUGGGAUCGAAAUACUUAUUUAAAUAUGACAGAGAGUAUCUUGAAAGUACUAAAUUUAUCAGAUUGUUGGGUAUGUAAUCCCCUUCCUCAG